GAUGAACGCUGGCGGCGUGCCUAAUACAUGCAAGUAGAACGCUGAAGCUUGGUGCUUGCACCGAGCGGAUGAGUUGCGAACGGGUGAGUAACGCGUAGGUGACCUGCCUCUUAGCGGGGGAUAACUAUUGGAAACGAUAGCUAAUACCGCAUAAAAGUCGAUAUCGCAUGAUAUUGAUUUGAAAGAUGCAAUUGCAUCACUAAGAGAUGGACCUGCGUUGUAUUAGCUAGUUGGUGAGGUAACGGCUCACCAAGGCGACGAUACAUAGCCGACCUGAGAGGGUGAUCGGCCACACUGGGACUGAGACACGGCCCAGACUCCUACGGGAGGCAGCAGUAGGGAAUCUUCGGCAAUGGGGGCAACCCUGACCGAGCAACGCCGCGUGAGUGAAGAAGGUUUUCGGAUCGUAAAGCUCUGUUGUAAGAGAAGAACGAGUGUGAGAGUGGAAAGUUCACACUGUGACGGUAACUUACCAGAAAGGGACGGCUAACUACGUGCCAGCAGCCGCGGUAAUACGUAGGUCCCGAGCGUUAUCCGGAUUUAUUGGGCGUAAAGCGAGCGCAGGCGGUUAGAUAAGUCUGAAGUUAAAGGCUGUGGCUUAACCAUAGUACGCUUUGGAAACUGUUUAACUUGAGUGCAGAAGGGGAGAGUGGAAUUCCAUGUGUAGCGGUGAAAUGCGUAGAUAUAUGGAGGAACACCGGUGGCGAAAGCGGCUCUCUGGUCUGUAACUGACGCUGAGGCUCGAAAGCGUGGGGAGCAAACAGG
rnacentral:rRNA from 1 species